rnacentral:rRNA from 1 species
GACGAACGCUGGCGGCGUGCCUAACACAUGCAAGUCGAACGGGGUAAUUUCUUCGGAGAUUACUUAGUGGCGAACGGGUGAGUAACGCGUGAGAAACCUGCCUUUCAGUGGGGGACAACAGUUGGAAACGACUGCUAAUACCGCAUAAUGUUAUUUGGGGGCAUCCCUGAAUAACCAAAGCUUUAUGUGCUGAAAGAUGGUCUCGCGUCUGAUUAGCUAGAUGGCGGGGUAACGGCCCACCAUUGCGACGAUCAGUAGCCGGUCUGAGAGGAUGAACGGCCACAUUGGGACUGAGAUACGGCCCAGACUCCUACGGGAGGCAGCAGUGGGGAAUAUUGGGCAAUGGGGGAAACCCUGACCCAGCAACGCCGCGUGAAGGAAGAAGGCCUUCGGGUUGUAAACUUCUUUUACCAGGGACGAAGAACGUGACGGUACCUGGAGAAAAAGCAACGGCUAACUACGUGCCAGCCGCCGCUGUAACAC